rnacentral:misc_RNA from 1 species
AUUCGGCCACACGCUUGAUAAACCACACACCAACAACAACAUCCAAAGGAACAGUAUUGGAGUAGAGGAUCACAGCAACCUUGACACAUGGGGUUGUGGAGGUCAAAACAAAGCACCGAAAGGUAAAGGGGGAAGAGCAGAUCCUUCACUAAGGAAAAGAGAGGACUGCUACAAGGGACCCAAGAGGCAACGUCCCAAGCAAAAACUAAAAAUAUGGACAAAAUCAAAUAAAGCAGGAGAGUAGAGGAUCACAACCUUGACACAUC